rnacentral:rRNA from 1 species
CCUACGGGUGGCAGCAGUGGGGAAUAUUGGACAAUGGGGGUAACCCUGAUCCAGCCAUGCCGCGUGUGUGAAGAAGGCCCUCGGGUUGUAAAGCACUUUCAGUGAGGAAGAACGCCUGGUGGUUAAUACCCAUCAGGAAAGACAUCACUCACAGAAGAAGCACCGGCUAACUCCGUGCCAGCAGCCGCGGUAAUACGGAGGGUGCGAGCGUUAAUCGGAAUUACUGGGCGUAAAGCGCGCGUAGGUGGCUUGAUAAGCCGGUUGUGAAAGCCCCGGGCUCAACCUGGGAACGGCAUCCGGAACUGUCAAGCUAGAGUGCAGGAGAGGAAGGUAGAAUUCCCGGUGUAGCGGUGAAAUGCGUAGAGAUCGGGAGGAAUACCAGUGGCGAAGGCGGCCUUCUGGACUGACACUGACACUGAAGUGCGAAAGCGUGGGUAGCAAACAGGAUUAGAUACCCGUGUAGUC